AUGCACCGAAAGCAAUAAGUUACUCAGGACUUAUCAAUUAUUAUUCUUGGACAAAAGCCUAACCCAAAACAGGUUUAACUUGCUAAACCCUUGCCACAUACCCUGCAAAUCUACCUUAAAUUUAACAUUCAAGCUUCAUAAGUCAUAACAUGCAGAUUAAUCAAACAGCUACCACUUCUUGCUUCUGCUGUUGAUCAUCUUCAUAGUGUAGCAGCUUUGUUGAUCUUGAUGUGUAUGAAGAUAAUGAUGAUUCUUCUGUGUUUAAUGAUGGGUGAAGAAGAAACAUUUGGUUUUGAAGAUAUGAACAGUAGGUGUUGAAUGUGGUUGGGUUUACAUUCAACUGGAACCCUAAUCCGAAUAAGAAAUCAACUUCAAGAAAGUUGAUCUCUGUUAUGCUGAUCCCUCCUACUUUUGCAUAGUAUGCAUUGUUAUAGUAUCUGAAUUCACAGAAGUUAAAGAAUUCAUCAAUAAGAGAUCAAACUUCACACAUAGUUACUGAAUUUAAUUAGUGAUGUUUAAAAAGCUGGCUCGAAAGCGACUCGUUUGUAAUCGAGUUGAGCACAAGCUAAGGUAAGCGCGUCUUGUGGCUCGAUUAAAUUAGAGCUCAAAUUUUAAUAUAUGUAAAUUACAAUCCAAAAACAAAAUAUAUUUAAAAUUCGAGUCUCAGUGGUAGCAGAUUAUCUAUCCACCGGGAUAAAAUAACUUAUGUUGUCUUCCCAUCAUCCUCGAACUCUACAAGUAACUUUCGCGAUGAGUGAGAUUUUAAUGGCAAUCAUGACACUAGUAAUCAGCAACCGAUGAACAUUCAACGAAUUGAUCAAAAUUGCAGGCUGUUGCUGUGUAAACCGAUCAAGAUAAACAUACGCAACAACGUAGCAUGAUGGGCUACAAUUUGCAUACUUAAAGAUCCUUUGCAGAUAGCUCUCAAUUGAGAUACUUGGUCUAGUAAGUCCAUGAAACGCCGAGAUCUUUUGCGGGUUGAACCGGGGAUUAAGAUCGUUAGAUUCCGCAACGCGUUGAAGUAGAGAUGAGAGGUAGGUGAUCAGGUUGUUCAUCACCGUUGGGCACUCCAAUUCAGCCAUUGAUGAACAGAUGAAGUUUAAGUUUAAUACUUAAUAGAGGUUCAAUAAAGAAUGAUUGGUUUGAGUAUAUAAACGACUGGUAGGGGUGUCAUCAGGUAGGUGCAUGUGAAUUGACAGUUUUGCCAUUGGGUUGAAUUUUGAAAUGAUUUUCAAUUUUCAAAUUUUUGAUUUUGUGAAGGGGGAAAGAUUGAUUAUCGUGGGUGAUUAUUAUUAGUAGAAAUCAUUCAAUUGCAUUUGAAUAAUGUAUUUUUUUUCUACUU
rnacentral:lncRNA from 1 species